GAGGGUAUGGCUCAGUGGCAGAGCAUGUGCUUAGUAUCCUUAGUAUGGAGGUCCUAGGUUCAAUUCCUAGUAACUCCA
rnacentral:tRNA from 1 species